AACGAACGCCGGCGGCAGGCCUAACACAUGCAAGUCGAACGAAGUCUUCGGACUUAGUGGCGGACGGGUGAGUAACACGUGGGAACGUGCCUUUAGGUUCGGAAUAACUCAGGGAAACUUGUGCUAAUACCGAAUGUGCCCUUCGGGGGAAAGAUUUAUCGCCUUUAGAGCGGCCCGCGUCUGAUUAGCUAGUUGGUGAGGUAAAGGCUCACCAAGGCGACGAUCAGUAGCUGGUCUGAGAGGAUGAUCAGCCACAUUGGGACUGAGACACGGCCCAAACUCCUACGGGAGGCAGCAGUGGGGAAUCUUGCGCAAUGGGCGAAAGCCUGACGCAGCCAUGCCGCGUGAAUGAUGAAGGUCUUAGGAUUGUAAAAUUCUUUCACCGGGGACGAUAAUGACGGUACCCGGAGAAGAAGCCCCGGCUAACUUCGUGCCAGCCGCCGCCGUAACAC
rnacentral:rRNA from 1 species